UCUCAGAAAACUACAGUAGAGUGUCAGUAAACUAAAGUAGAGUCUCAGUAAACUACAAUAGAGUCUUAGUAAACUACUGUAGAGUAUCUUGACUCGCGCGCUUUAUGUUAAUCACCUCCAGUCACUCAGCGCGCACGAGCUGUUUGGAGGAGACUUGAGCGCGCGCCAGCAGCAGUUUCCAGCAGCGCUCGUGCAGCCGACCGUUAAUUCCUCUCUCCUGGUCUCGGUCUGGUCUCGGUCUGGGUUUGUCGGUGUGGGUUCAGUUUGUUGUCCCGGUUCUCCCCUCUCACGGUCCGCUCGGUUCUUCCGCUUCUCCGUCAGAAGUCUCGACUCAAAGUUUGGUCUCCCGUUUCAGUCGGUUCUCCUCCGGUUCUCCUCCGGUUCCCCGUCUGACAGCUGCUGCAGCUCCGGUACUUACCCGGUACUAACCCGGCUCAGUCAUCUUUAAAGGUUUGUGACCCGGUUCUGUUGGCUUGGUAACCUUCUCCUGGUCCCGUUCCCUCGGUAACCGUCUCAGACAUGGGUUGGAGUGUCCUGGUGCUGCUGUCAAUCAUCUGUGCUGGACUCACGGCGGGAGUACUGGACGGACCGGACGUUCAAGUGAUCGACGUGUUGAGUCUUCAGGACUCAAAGCAGAGCGUGGCGGCGGUGGAGAAGCUGUCAGGCGGUCUGAGCGCGCUCAGUGACAUCUAUGUGGUGUCCACGUUUCGGCUGCCGGCGAAAUUGGGCGGCGUCCUGCUGGGUCUCUACAGCAAACAGGACAACAGGAAGUACCUGGAGGUCGCCGUCAUGGGGAAGAUCAACAAAGUCCUAGUGCGUUAUGUGCGAGCUGACGGGAAGCUCCACACCGUUAACCUCCAGAACGCGCCGCUGGCCGAUGGGCGGAGUCACUCCAUCAUCCUGAGGCUCGGUGGUCUUCAGCGUGACAACAUGCACAUGGAGCUCUACGUCAACUGCCGAUUGGCUGACUCUAGCCAGGGCCUGCCGUCAUUGGUGGCCUUGCCUAGAGAGGCGGAGAUGGUGGAGGUCAGACACGGACAGAAGGCCUACACCCGACUACAGGGAUCAGUGGAGUCCCUCAGACUGGCUCUAGGUGGUUCUGUAGCUAAAGCUGGAUCUCUGACAGACUGUCCCUUCCAAGGAGACUCUUCAUCCUACAACUCAGUGAGUGGGGAGUUGAACUCCAUCCUGGGUGAUCACACCAAGGCUCUGAUUGGUCAGCUCAUCAUCUUCAAUCAGAUCCUGGGAGAACUGAGACAGGACAUCAGAGAACAGGUCAAAGAGAUGUCUCUGAUCAGGAACACCAUCCUGGAGUGUCAGGUUUGUGGUUUCCAUGAGCCUCGGUCUCGCUGCUCUCCUAAUCCCUGCUAUAAGACGGUGUCCUGCAUGGAGAGUCUGCAUUACCCAGGUUACACCUGUGGACCCUGUCCACCUGGAACCAGAGGCAACGGGACCCACUGUCACGACAUCGAUGAGUGUGAGCUGCAGCCUUGUUUCUCUCCUGAAGCCUGUGUGAACACUGUCGGGGGGUUCACCUGUCACUCCUGUCCUCCUGGCCUGUGGGGGGCGCCACUGGCUGGAACUGGACUGGACUACGCCAAGACACACAGACAGGAGUGUGUAGAUAUAGAUGAGUGUCUAGAUCUACCAGACGCCUGUGUAUCAAACUCUGUGUGCAUCAACACUGUGGGUUCAUACAAGUGUGGAGGCUGUAAACCUGGUUUCCUCGGUAACCAGACGUCAGGUUGCUUCCCCAGGAAGUCGUGUGCUGCAUUGACCUUUAACCCCUGUGACUCCAACGGCCACUGCACCAUGGAGAGGAGCGGAGAGGUCGCCUGCAGGUGUAAUGUGGGUUGGGCUGGUAACGGUAACACAUGUGGACCGGACACAGACAUCGACGGGUAUCCUGACCGCCCUCUGCCCUGCAUGGACAACGACAAACACUGCAAACAGGACAACUGUGUGUUCACACCGAACUCUGGUCAGGAGGACGCCGACAACGACGGGAUCGGAGAUCAGUGUGACGAGGACGCCGACGGAGACGGCAUCAAAAACGUGGAGGAUAACUGCCGGUUGGUCCCGAACAAAGACCAGCAGAAUUCAGACAGCGACUCGUUCGGAGACGCUUGUGAUAACUGUCCCAACGUCCCCAACACGAACCAGAAAGACACGGACAGCAACGGACAGGGAGACGCCUGUGACCAGGACAUCGACGGGGACGGUAUUCCCAACGUUCUGGAUAACUGUCCGAAGGUACCGAACCCGAUGCAGACGGACAGAGACAGAGACGGAGUGGGAGACGCCUGUGACAGCUGUCCUGAACUCAGUAACCCGAUGCAGACGGAUGUCGACAACGACCUGGUGGGAGACAUUUGUGACACCAACCAAGACAUGGAUGGAGACGGUCUCCAGGACAGCAGAGACAACUGUCCAGACAUCCCCAACAGCUCCCAGCUGGACUCUGACAACGACGGCCUCGGAGACGACUGUGAUCACGACGACGACAACGACGGCGUCCUCGACGACUACGACAACUGCCGACUCAUCGUCAACCCCAACCAGAAAGACUCCGACCUGAACGGCAUUGGGGACGUCUGUGAGAACGACUUUGAUAAUGACUCAGUGAUGGAUCUGUUUGACGUUUGUCCGGAGAGCGCUGAGGUCACUCUGACCGACUUCAGAGCCUAUCAGACGGUCAUCCUGGACCCAGAGGGCGACGCCCAGAUUGACCCCACCUGGGUGGUCCUGAACCAGGGGAUGGAGAUAGUUCAGACGAUGAACAGUGACCCGGGUUUAGCCGUGGGCUACACAGCGUUUAACGGAGUCGACUUCGAGGGAACGUUCCACGUCAACACGGUAACCGACGACGACUACGCCGGCUUCAUCUUCGGCUACCAGGACUCAUCAAGUUUCUACGUGGUGAUGUGGAAACAGACGGAGCAGACGUACUGGCAGUCGAUCCCCUUCAGAGCCAUGGCCCAGCCCGCCCUGCAGCUCAAGGCGGUGAAGUCUCGGACUGGACCAGGAGAGUUCUUGAGGAACGCCCUGUGGCACACCGGAGACACACCUGGAGAGGUGAAGCUGCUCUGGAAGGAUCCACGAAACGUCGGCUGGAAGGACAAAACCUCGUACCGUUGGCACCUCAGCCACCGGCCGCAGGUGGGCUACAUCAGGGUGAAGCUGUUUGAGGGGAGAGACAUGGUGGCCGACUCUGGCGUUGUGAUCGACACCACGAUGAGAGGAGGCCGGCUCGGUGUCUUCUGUUUCUCCCAGGAAAACAUCAUCUGGUCCAACCUGCGCUACAGGUGUAACGACACGGUGCCCGAAGACUUCCAGACUCAUCGUAAACAAUUUCUGAUGCACAUUCAAGUGUGAGAGCUGCAGAGGACCUGAACGCACCUUUAAAGAAAUGACCCUGCGGGGGCUCCGUACUGCAGGUUCCGUCCUCCAUAAGAGUCCAGCUGAUGAAUGUCAUUAGUUCUGCAGGUAUUUAGUCACAAACCAAAGUAUUGGACAUGUUGACCUGAUGAUGGCGCUAGAUGAAGAGUCAGAGGAUCGUUAAAGUUAUUAUGAUUCAUCCUCUGAGGGGAAACAUGAAUCUAUCCAUCCCAUAAUAGUUGAGACGUUUCUUCUACCUCGUCUUUCUGAGCUCCAGCGGCGUUUCUCUGCUGCCGUCUGGAGGUGGGGGGUCGUGACCCCUGGGCCGGGGAGGCCGGGACGAGUGCAAUAUUGGAGGGGGGACAUGACAACAGUGCACCGCAUCCCGGACCUGCCCGACCCCGGGAGGAAACACGCCACACGCCCUGAAAACACACACACACACACACACACACACACACACACACACACAGGAGGGGAGUUAAAACACCACAGAGGCUGCGUUCAACGCAUUCAAAACGUUCAAAACGUUCAAAACGUUCAAAACGUUCAACUGUUCAACUGUUCAACGCAUUCAAAACGUUCAAAACGUUCAAAACGUUCAACUGUUCAACUGUUCAACGUACAGAUAUUAAUCAUUUUAAACAUGUUGUCAUUGAACAAAAUUCAGAGUUUAGCAGAACUGUCUGAAAUCUCUGUGAUAUUAAUGUUAUAGUAUAAUAUAAUGUGUGGAUUAUAUUAACAUAAAUGGCAUGACAUUUAAACUAAACUGUUGCAUUCAGGUUCUUUCUG